rnacentral:rRNA from 1 species
UACACUCCUACGGGAGGCAGCAGUGAGGAAUAUUGGACAAUGGGUGGAAGCCUGAUCCAGCCAUCCCGCGUGCAGGAAGACGGCCCUAUGGGUUGUAAACUGCUUUUAUCUGGGGAUAAACCUACUUACGUGUAAGUAGCUGAAGGUACCAGAAGAAUAAGCACCGGCUAACUCCGUGCCAGCAGCCGCGGUAAUACGGAGGGUGCAAGCGUUAUCCGGAUUUAUUGGGUUUAAAGGGUCCGUAGGCGGACUGAUAAGUCAGUGGUGAAAUCCGACAGCUUAACUGUCGAACUGCCAUUGUUACUGUUAGUCUUGAGUAAGGUUGAAGUGGCUGGAAUAAGUAGUGUAGCGGUGAAAUGCAUAGAUAUUACUUAGAACACCAAUUGCGAAGGCAGGUCACUAAGUCUUAACUGACGCUGAUGGACGAAAGCGUGGGGAGCGAACAGGAUUAGAAACCCGAGUAGUCCCAUG